CACGUGGACAACCUACCCUUGGGUUCGGCAUAAUCCUGGGAAACUGGGGAUAAUACCGGAUAGGUCACAGAUGCUGGAAUGCACUGUGGCUCAAAGCUCCGGCGCCCAAGGAUGGGUCUGCGGCCUAUCAGGGUUGUAGUGGGUGUAAUGUACCUACUAGCCUACGACGGGUACGGGUUGUGAGAGCAAGAGCCCGGAGAUGGAUUCUGAGACACGAAUCCAGGCCCUACGGGGUGCAGCAGGCGCGAAAACUUUACAAUGCGGGAAACCGUGAUAAGGGAAUCUCGAGUGCCAGCAUAUAAUGUUGGCUGUCCAGAUGCCUAAAAAGCAUCUGUUAGCAAGGGCCGGGCAAGACCGGUGCCAGCCGCCGCGGUAACACCGGCGGCCCGAGUGGUAACCGCUAUUAUUGGGUCUAAAGGGUCUGUAGCCGGCCAGGUAAGUCCCUUGGGAAAUCUGGCAGCUCAACUGUCAGGCUGCUAGGGGAUACUGGUUGGCUUGGGACCGGGAGAGGUGAGAGGUACCUUGGGGGUAGGGGUGAAAUCUUGUGAUCCUCGGGGGACCACCAGUGGCGAAGGCGUCUCACCAGAACGGGUCCGACGGUAAGGGACGAAAGCUAGGGGCACGAACC
rnacentral:rRNA from 1 species